rnacentral:misc_RNA from 1 species
GGUACCGUUGCUACCUCUAUGACGAGCUAAGAAACACGCGUACAAGUCAGAAUUACAAGUUCAUAAAUUUAUCUGUGGUUUUUGAUAAAACAACAUGUGUUAACAUUUAAAAUGUCGGCAGGCAUUCAAACCGUGAAUUUAAUCGAACUUCCCACCAUGGCCGGAUGGACAUAAAUGGGUAGAUCCGCACUGGCAUCUUCCUGGUACAUAAAUCCCAGGGCGAUUGACCGUCACCGUUUGCUAUAACUCUGGAUUCACUGGCGCUUCGCGUGAGAUACGCUUCACUGCCAUUGGAUACAGUAAUCUGUACCGAACCUGGCUGUUGCACCUGGUGUCACUUACGUCAUUAUACACCACUAAUUACAUCUUAAAAUAUUGGAAAUUGUUUAUAAAUGCACUUUGCUUUAUAUUCUUGUAAUAAAAU